rnacentral:rRNA from 1 species
UACGUAGGGGGCAAGCGUUGUCCGGAUUUAUUGGGCGUAAAGAGCGUGUAGGCGGCCAUGUAGGUCCGUUGUGAAAACUCGAGGCUCAACCUCGACGCCGAUGGAAACCAUGUGGCUAGAGUCCGGAAGAGGAGAGUGGAAUUCCUGGUGUAGCGGUGAAAUGCGCAGAUAUCAGGAAGAACACCCGUGGCUAAGGCGGCUCUCUAGUACGGUACUGACGCUGAGACGCGAAAGCGUGGGGAGCGAACAGG